AGCGAACGCUGGCGGCAGGCCUAACACAUGCAAGUCGAACGAACUCUUCGGAGUUAGUGGCGGACGGGUGAGUAACACGUGGGAACGUGCCUUUAGGUUCGGAAUAACUCAGGGAAACUUGUGCUAAUACCGAAUGUGCCCUUCGGGGGAAAGAUUUAUCGCCUUUAGAGCGGCCCGCGUCUGAUUAGCUAGUUGGUGCGGUAAAGGCUCACCAAGGCUACGAUCAGUAGCUGGUCUGAGAGGAUGACCAGCCACAUUGGGACUGAGACACGGCCCAAACUCCUACGGGAGGCAGCAGUGGGGAAUCUUGCGCAAUGGCGAAAGCCUGACGCAGCCAUGCCGCGUGGAUGAUGAAGGUCUUAGGAUUGUAAAAUCCUUUCACCGGUGAAGAUAAUGACUGUAGCCGGAGAAGAAGCCCCGGCUAACUUCGUGCCAGCCGCCGCGGUAAAAC
rnacentral:rRNA from 1 species